rnacentral:rRNA from 1 species
UACGUAGGUGGCAAGCGUUGUCCGGAUUUACUGGGCGUAAAGGGCGUGCAGGCGGUUUGUUAAGUGCAGGGUGAAAGCUCCCGGCUCAACUGGGAGAGGUCCUUGCAUACUGGCAAACUCGAGGGAGGCAGAGGAAAGUGGAAUUCCGCGUGUAGCAGUGAAAUGCGUAGAUAUGCGGAGGAACACCGAUGGCGAAGGCAAUCCCCUGGGCCUGCACUGACGCUCAUGCACGAAAGCGUGGGGAGCAAACAGG